rnacentral:rRNA from 1 species
GGGCGUCCCUACACAUGCAAGUCGAACGAGAAAGUGGAGCAUCCAUGAGUAAAGUGGCGCACGGGUGAGUAACACGUGACUAACCUACCCUUGAGUGGGGGAUAACCUAGGGAAACCUGGGCUAAUACCGCAUAAUACCUUCGGGUCAAAGGAGCAAUUCGCUUAAGGAGGGGGUCGCGGCCGAUUAGUUAGUUGGCGGGGUAAUGGCCCACCAAGACUGUGAUCGGUAUCCGGCCUGAGAGGGCGCACGGACACACUGGAACUGAAACACGGUCCAGACUCCUACGGGAGGCAGCAGUGGGGAAUUUUGCGCAAUGGGGGAAACCCUGACGCAGCAACGUCGCGUGGAGGAUGAAGUCCCUUGGGACGUAAACUCCUUUCGAUCGGGACGAUUAUGACGGUACCGGAAGAAGAAGCCCCGGCUAACUUCGUGCCAGCAGCCGCGGUAAUACGAGGGGGGCGAGCGUUGUUCGGAAUUAUUUGGGCGUAAAGGGUGCGUAGGCGGUUUGGUAAGUCUUGUGUGAAAUCUUCGGGCUCAACUCGAAGUCUGCAUGAGAAACUGCCGGGCUUGAGUAUGGGAGAGGUGAGUGGAAUUCCCGGUGUAAGCCGGUGAAAUGCGUAGAUUCGGGAGGAACACCUGUGGCGAAAAGCGGUCCACUGGGACCAUUAACUUGGACGCUUGGAGGGCAACGGAAAAGCCUAAGGGGAGCAAACAGGGAUUAGAUAACUCUUGGUAAGUCCCAACGCCGUUAAAACCGAUGGAUGGCUAAGCCGU